CUUGCUAGCCAAUAUUCUGAGCACCCGUGCAUCCGAUGCAGCCGAGGAGACACUGAACAGUGACAGUUCAGUGGUGACGGACUCGUGGGACGGCGAGCGCGCCACCCCGGCACUCCGCCACGCCUCCCCCGUGCACAUCUCGACUGAAAGCUGUUUAUGUUGGGAUCCACGGCGAAUGUUCUUAUUAACCGCUAUGUUAAAUAUAUUAUAAUUUGUUUAAAACGUUAAAAACGAUAAUAUUUUCAAUAAUAUUGCAAUAUAAACAUAGUAUUUUAGAA
rnacentral:misc_RNA from 1 species